GGGAAAGUGCAAGAGUUGGUUUCUAAACACAAGGAAGACCACUUCUCUCGUUAUUAACUUAACUUGAAUCACAAAGUAACAAAUAAGCAAACCGGUUGAAUCAAUUUUAUUUGCGAUUUGGAAUCCUUUGCCAGUUUGAUCUUCUCUGAACCGGUACCGACCCAACUGUGAGUCCAUCAUCAUGACUCUUUAUUACUAAGAAGAUUUGUCAUAGAAAACUCAGCAAUCUCUCAAUUAGAACAAAUCAAAC
rnacentral:lncRNA from 1 species